rnacentral:rRNA from 1 species
AGCAGCAGCCGCGGGAAUACGUAGGGUGCAAGCGUUAAUCGGAAUUACUGGGCGUAAAGCGUGCGCAGGCGGUUUUGUAAGACAGAGGUGAAAUCCCCGGGCUCAACCUGGGAACUGCCUUUGUGACUGCAAGGCUAGAGUACGGCAGAGGGGGAUGGAAUUCCGCGUGUAGCAGUGAAAUGCGUAGAUAUGCGGAGGAACACCGAUGGCGAAGGCAAUCCCCUGGGCCUGUACUGACGCUCAUGCACGAAAGCGUGGGGAGCAAACAGGAUUAGAUACCCCUGUAGUCCCUGUCUCUUAUAC